rnacentral:lncRNA from 1 species
AUGGACCCACCACAAAAGUUUAACCCAACCUUGACCCCAGAAUCUUCACAAAUGCUCAGUGAAGAAAAUCCCCAGGACGACUCGGGCCUCUCUUCUGCUCAGAGAUGUCAAUAAAGAACUUCAGUAGCGUGACUUUCAACCCUAGUACCAAAUUCCCUUCCCUUCUACCAGAAGAUUCAUCCCAACAACUGGAUAGAAGAGAAACGACCUUCCAGGACAUCAGAGAUGGCUUGCCUCAGGAGUAGAAGUAAGAACGCUGCUACCUAUGCAGAAAGGAAGUAUGGCAAAAUUGAGAUACCUGUUACUCAACAGAUGUUCUUGGCUUGAAAAACUAGUAGACACUGGGCCAAAGGGAGAGUUCAGAAUGAAUCAAGAAGGGAACCAUUCAAAUGUGGCUGCAGUUUCUGUUAUCAUAGAUAGCCUGAGAAUGCUACAACAGGGAAUCAUGACACCAAGCCAAUUCAACCAUAA